rnacentral:antisense_RNA from 1 species
CCCAAUGGUAGCGCGUAAUGGGCAACCGCUUGCGGUUGGCUGCUUUCCAUUUGUAGCAGUUUCUCACCCCGUUACGCGCUACCGCCCGA